CAGUUCCUGAGGCAGAGACAACAAGAGGAGCCUAUUUGCUGCUGCUUGCCUGCACUGUGGUGGAGGGCACAUCCUUCUUCCAGAAGACCCUCAUAGAAGAGAAGAAGUGGCCCACACUUGAUUGACAGUUAGCCUGGUGAGCUUCUGAUGAUUGUGGGAGAUAUAUGCAGUAGUAUGUUAUUAAAGUUCACCUUUCAAAGUAGUUUGGCUGGGGCCAAUUACUGAAUACCAAAAGACAGACAGCUCUUCUCUGAACACUCUCCAAUUUAUCAAUAUCCUUCUUGAAUUGUGGGCACCAGAAUGGACAUUGUAUUCCAGGGGCACAUUAGUGCCAAAUACAGAGA